rnacentral:SRP_RNA from 1 species
GCCGAGCGUGGUGGCGGGCGCCUGUAAUCCCAGCUACUUGGGAGGCUGAGGCAGGAGAAUCACUGGAACCCAGGAGUGGGAGGCUGCAGUGAGCCGAGAUCUCACCACCACUGCACUCCAGCCUGGGUGACACAGUGAGACUCUGUCUCAA